UUCAUUCUAAAUUUCAUUAUUUAAAAGUACAUAAUUGCCCAUUGGAGUUCAUGACGGUUCUCUCAAGUGAAUGAAAAAUUCGUGGGUGUUUUUGUAAAAAAGAAAAACAUAGCAAACGCAAAUCCAACGACAGAUCGCCGUUUCUGGUUGAGAAUCUCGUAUCUGCCGCCGGAAGCAGAGCCCAUGCCCAAGUGAUACGCAUAUGUUGUUUUCAGGCCAAACGUGGGAAAUCUAGAGAUUUACCAUCGGAUUUGCCUCAACGACAUGCGCCUGUAUCAUUUGAAUAAGUUCAUGGCUUCCCAAGUUAUUUUUAGUAUAAUUUACGGCCAGCGAAAACAAGACACCGG
rnacentral:lncRNA from 1 species